GACGAACGCUGGCGGCGUGCCUAAUACAUGCAAGUCGAACGCAGUGGGGACGGGCGAGUAACACGUGGGCAAACUCACAUCAGAGGGGAUAACACGUGGAAACAGGUGCUAAACCGAUACUGAUGGAUGAACCCGGGGUGCAUUAGCUAGUUGGUGAAGUAACGCCUCACCAAGGCAACGAUGCAUAGCCGAACCGAGAGGGUGAUCGGCCACACUGGAACGGAGACACGGCCCAGAAUCCUACGGGAGUCAGCAGUAGGGAAGCUUCGGCAAUGGGCGAAAGUCUGACGGAGCAACGCCGCGUGAGUGAAGAAGGUUUUCGGAUCGUAAACCUCUGUUGUUAGAGAAGCGGUAUCUAACCAGAAAGCCACGGCUAACUACGUGCCAGCAGCCGCGGUAAUAC
rnacentral:rRNA from 1 species